GUAUAGCUCAGUGGUAGAGCACUCGCCUAAUGUGUGAAACCCUGGGUUUGAUCCCCAGUAC
rnacentral:tRNA from 1 species